UACGAACUGUGCGAACGUUAUUCGGAAUCACUGGGCUUAAAGGGUGCGUAGGCGGCGCUGUAAGUCAGGUGUGAAAUCCCCCGGCUCAACCGGGGAAUGGCGCUUGAAACUGCAGUGCUUGAGUGAGGUAGGGGUGCAUGGAACUUCCGGUGGAGCGGUGAAAUGUGUAGAUAUCGGGAGGAACACCAGUGGCGAAGGCGACUACCUGGCCUGUUCUUGACGCUGAGGCGCGAAAGCUAGGGGAGCAAACGGG
rnacentral:rRNA from 1 species